UACGAAGGGGGCUAGCGUUGCUCGGAAUCACUGGGCGUAAAGGGUGCGUGGGCGGGUCUUUAAGUCAGAGGUGAAAUCCUGGAGCUCAACUCCAGAACUGCCUUUGAUACUGAGAAGCUUGAGUCCGGGAGAGGUGAGUGGAACUGCGAGUGUAGAGGUGAAAUUUGUAGAUAUUCGCAAGAACACCAGUGGCGAAGGCGGCUCACUGGCCCGGUACUGACGCUGAGGUGCGAAAGCGUGGGGAGCAAACAGG
rnacentral:rRNA from 1 species